AGUGACUCCCGGCACGCGGGGGACGGGGCCGGGGGCGGCGCGGCACUUAAAGGGGCCCGGGGGGCGAGGGCGGCCGCCAGGGCGCAGCUCCGCGAGCGGCGUGGGGAUCCUCCGGAGCCUUCGCUCUUUCGCACAAGGAGCGUGCAGCUAGGCCGAUCUUUGUUCUUUAAAGACAAAGCCCCUGAACUUGGGUCCUCGUUUUGUUCAGCGUUUGGCUUCACGAAUUUUUCUGAUGAUGGGAAAUAGAGCUAAAGUUGUUUCUGCACUUGGUUGGGAACUAGCUGUGAAUAAUGUGCUGAAAUUUUACAAAAAUAAGAGAAAGGUGGUAGAAACGGAAACUUAGUCAUUGUUUCCUUCAGAUUUUUACUGUGAAAAUGGUGGAUUAAGUGUUUCUCCUGAUGAGCAAUCAUUCUUUUGCACAGUUGAGUGUCCACAGAACCCUGAUUGGCAGCAUUGCUAUUUCUGUCUCCCGAAGGCCUUUCCCUCCUAGGGCUGCCAGUGUUGGUCACUAUGCUAUAUAGAAGGUAUUGGCUUGUUCCGUUGUACCAUUCAGACACAGUCCCAGGCCAUACUAUGGCCAGCAACCCACCGCCUUUUCUUACUCCAUCCUUGGUCAGAAAAUGUCCUUUAUUCUCCAGACUAAAAUCGGCAUGGUCCUCGUGAGCCUAGCAGCUUUUGUAACUACAUAUGGAAGAGGAAUUUGACAUAUUGUGGCUCAUUCCUCACUUCCUGGGACUCUUGUAGUUCUAACCCAGUCCAAAUAGACAAGAUUAUCCCAAAGAGGCAAUUAAAAAAUCAUAACCUGUUCCAGCCAUCAUCUUCAAUUUUGGUUUUGACUGGACAUUUAAAACUAUUAAAGCCAGGACUUUACUUAAAGGAGACAAAAGGAAUCAAAGUGCUUCCCCUCUCCCGCUUUCUCCCUUUGCCUCCUCUCAGCAUCACAUUCUUUCUCAUCCUGGUUGUGGCCACACCUCCUGCUUUGGAUUUGUAAAGUAUACAAAAAUCCUGGCCAACGAAGUUCUGGGAUACAGCUCUAACCAGCAAUCUCAGUCUUUUUUUUUUUUUUUUUUUUCCUUGGCUAUUCAAAGCCUCUACAAAAACCCAAUCUUUUGCCCAUCAUCCAUUGGUCACUGCCUGAUCCUUCAGGCUUGUCAUAAUCUCAAGCUUCAGCAUUGGUCACGUGGCCCAUCGCCCAGUUCUAUAGAUCUCCUUUAUUCACCUCUUCCCACUCACCUUAUCUUGGAGAAUAUACCAGCUGGCUGUUCCUGUAUGCAGCUGUCAAGAGGAGCAGGGAAUAAGACAAUAUCCUGAAUGCUUGGAGAUGACGGAAAAACACUAAAAUGGGAAAGGGCAAGUUGUGAAGGGCUGACUUACUUAGUCUGGUCUGUUCUGAGUCCUGGUGACAGUUCUCUUUAAUUAGUGUAUAUUCUGUAAGUUGUUUUAGUUCUGCUUCUGCAGCUAGACUGGCACUGAUACUGUUUGUAGCCUAUGUAAUACCUGUCACCCUUAUUCCUAACAGGAGGCUAGAGGGAAAGGAACUGGAAGAGAAGGAGUAAUUCUGGAAAAAGUUUCCUCACUUUUAAUAGAGACAGAGAGAUAGGUAGGUUUUUUUUCUUCCUUUGGAUGUUACAUGUCUAGGUCUAAUGCCACAGCUAUGUUGCCACAAGCCUAAGGAUGAAACCAGGACCAGAGGUGGCAAAGAGACGUAGAAGCGAGCUGGGUCCUCAAUGACAUUAGUGACCACAAUCCCUCUACCCUAAGCUGACACUCUCCAUUAGGAGGGAUAGUAUUUCUGUUUUCUUAGAGACCAGUCUAUAAGAGGCUGACACCAGUUCAUGUUUUCUAUCCUCUUUAUUGCUUGUUAUAUGAGACAAAUAACACCAAUCUGUUUAUCUCUCAAUAUGGCAGAGAAAAUGCUCAUCACCAGUGGUCCUGUUCUGUUUUUUCAUACUGUUAAGUCAUUUUGCAAAUCAUUUACAGAACUAAGAAUAAAGGAAUAGUGAAAAAUAAUUCUUAAAAAAUGUAAUUUAAAUAUAGCAAACCUAGUUUUUUAUUCUAUCUUUUCCUGCAUUUGAAGGAUUAUUUACCCUAAUGAACAAUGUUCUUUAAACAAAGCUGACUGCUUAUCAAUCAGCAUAUAUGAACCAGGAACACAAUCAUCUUGUAAAUAUUGAUUCCAGGUUUCAAAUACUUUUUUUUUUUUUUGAGAUAGUCUCACUCUGUCACCCAGGCU